rnacentral:rRNA from 1 species
UACGGAGGGUGCAAGCGUUAUCCGGAUUCACUGGGGUUAAAGGGUGCGUAGGAGGGCAGGUAAGUCAGUGGUGAAAUCCUAGAGCUUAACUCUAGAACUGCCGUUGAUACUAUCUGUCUUGAAUAUUGUGGAGGUGAGCGGAAUAUGUCAUGUAGCGGUGAAAUGCUUAGAUAUGACAUAGAACACCAAUUGCGAAGGCAGCUCGCUACACAUAUAUUGACUCUGAGGCACGAAAGCGUGGGGAUCAAACAGG